GUACACUCCUACGGGAGGCAGCAGUGGGGAAUAUUGCACAAUGGGCGCAAGCCUGAUGCAGCCAUGCCGCGUGUAUGAAGAAGGCCUUCGGGUUGUAAAGUACUUUCAGCGGGGAGGAAGGCGAUAAGGUUAAUAACCUUGUCGAUUGACGUUACCCGCAGAAGAAGCACCGGCUAACUCCGUGCCAGCAGCCGCGGUAAUACGGAGGGUGCAAGCGUUAAUCGGAAUUACUGGGCGUAAAGCGCACGCAGGCGGUCUGUCAAGUCGGAUGUGAAAUCCCCGGGCUCAACCUGGGAACUGCAUUCGAAACUGGCAGGCUAGAGUCUUGUAGAGGGGGGUAGAAUUCCAGGUGUAGCGGUGAAAUGCGUAGAGAUCUGGAGGAAUACCGGUGGCGAAGGCGGCCCCCUGGACAAAGACUGACGCUCAGGUGCGAAAGCGUGGGGAGCAAACAGGAUUAGAAACCCCUGUAGUCCCAUGAU
rnacentral:rRNA from 1 species